GGAGUCCUAAGCCCUGGGUGUUCUAUAGCCGAUUAGUUGGAGAGGGCAGGGUAAGCCCCAUAAGUUGCAGCAAACAAGUCAAAUGGCAAAGCAGGAAAGACGGCAAGCGGGUGCUUUUAGUUGUCCCUCCAAUAGCAGUCCUCCCAAUAAUACCAGCCAAGCCAGGGCAUACCCUUUCCCUAAAUAGUAAUACCUGUCCCCGUCAAGAUAGCUUGGAUACUAGUACUGGACCCCGUAGUUCUAGUCCUUUGCUCAACCAGUUACACGCCUGUUGAAUUGCACUUUUUUCAAGCCUUUCAAGCUGUAAUAAUUUACCCAGGGAAUUCAAUUGAAAUCCAUUUUUUUUUCUAGUAAGCUAGGGCUUAGUAAGCAAAUCAAAGGAGUCGCUGGGGCAAAUCAAGUUAGUUUUUAGCAGUCUCUCAAAGCAGUCUCGGCGAGGUUAAG
rnacentral:misc_RNA from 1 species